GACGAACGCUGGCGGCGUGCCUAAUACAUGCAAGUCGAACGAGAGCGACCGGUGCUUGCACUGGUCAAUCUAGUGGCGAACGGGUGAGCAACACGUGGGUAACCUGCCCAUCAGAGGGGGAUAACAUUCGGAAACGGAUGCUAAAACCGCAUAGGUCUUCGAACCGCAUGGUUUGAAGAGGAAAAGAGGCGCAAGCUUCUGCUGAUGGAUGGACCCGCGGUGCAUUAGCUAGUUGGUGAGGUAACGGCUCACCAAGGCCGUGAUGCAUAGCCGACCUGAGAGGGUGAUCGGCCACAUUGGGACUGAGACACGGCCCAAACUCCUACGGGAGGCAGCAGUAGGGAAUCUUCCGCAAUGGACGCAAGUCUGACGGAGCAACGCCGCGUGAGUGAAGAAGGUUUUCGGAUCGUAAAACUCUGUUGUUAGAGAAGAACAAGUGCUAGAGUAACUGUUAGCGCCUUGACG
rnacentral:rRNA from 1 species